UACGUAGGGGGCGAGCGUUGUCCGGAAUGACUGGGCGUAAAGGGAGUGUAGGCGGCGUGACAAGUUAUAUGUGAAAUCCUGCGGCUUAACCGCAGAACUGCAUAUAAAACUAUCAGGCUUGAGUGCGGGAGAGGUAAGUGGAAUUCCCGGUGUAGUGGUGAAAUGCGUAGAGAUCGGGAGGAACACCUGUGGCGAAGGCGGCUCGCUGGGCCGGUUCUGACGCUGAGACGCGAAGGCGUGGGGAGCGAACGGG
rnacentral:rRNA from 1 species